rnacentral:rRNA from 1 species
GAUGAACGCUGGCGGCGUGCCUAAUACAUGCAAGUCGAGCGAACGGACGAGAAGCUUGCUUUUCUGAUGUUAGCGGCGGACGGGUGAGUAACACGUGGAUAACCUACCUAUAAGACUGGGAUAACUUCGGGAAACCGGAGCUAAUACCGGAUAAUAUUUUGAACCGCAUGGUUCAAAAGUGAAAGACGGUCUUGCUGUCACUUAUAGAUGGAUCCGCGCUGCAUUAGCUAGUUGGUAAGGUAACGGCUUACCAAGGCAACGAUGCCUAGCCGACCUGAGAGGAUGAUCAGCAACACUGGACCUGAGACACUGUCCAGACUCCGACGGUAGGCAGCAGUAGGGAAUCUUCCGCAAAUGGCGAAAGCCUGACGGAGCAACGCCGCGUGAGUGAUGAAGGUCUUCCGAUCGUAAAACUCUGUUAUUAGGGAAGAACAUAUGUGUAAGUAACUAUGCACAUCUUGACGGUACCUAAUCAGAAAGCCACGGCUAACUACGUG